rnacentral:ncRNA from 1 species
CAGAGUAGAAGCUGUGCGUAAAGUGCUUUCGAAACGGGGAGUUGUUCGAAAGACGAAGGAGAUUUUCUCUGCGGUACAGACUUCGCAUCCCGCUGU